GAGUUUGAUCGUGGCUCAGGAUGAACGCUAGCGGGAGGCCUAACACAUGCAAGCCGAGCGGUAGAGAUUCUUCGGAAUCUUGAGAGCGGCGUACGGGUGCGGAACACGUGUGCAACCUGCCUUUAUCAGGGGGAUAGCCUUUCGAAAGGAAGAUUAAUACCCCAUAAUAUAUUAAGUGGCAUCACUUGAUAUUGAAAACUCCGGUGGAUAAAGAUGGGCACGCGCAAGAUUAGAUAGUUGGUAGGGUAACGGCCUACCAAGUCAGUGAUCUUUAGGGGGCCUGAGAGGGUGAUCCCCCACACUGGUACUGAGACACGGACCAGACUCCUACGGGAGGCAGCAGUGAGGAAUAUUGGACAAUGGGUGAGAGCCUGAU
rnacentral:rRNA from 1 species